rnacentral:misc_RNA from 1 species
UCCGGUUUGUCACCGGCAGUUUCUCUAGAGUGCUCAACUAAAUGGUAGCAACUAGAGACGAGGGUUGCGCUCGUUGCGGGACUUAACCCAACAUCUCACGGCACGAGCUGACGACAGCCAUGCAGCACCUGAGCACGCGGGUAUUGCUACCUCGUCGGGCUUUCACCCUCCUACUACGUGCAUGUCCAGCCUGGGUAAGGUUCUUCGCGUUGCGUCGAAUUAAACCACAUGCUCCACCGCUUGUGCGGGCCCCCGUCAAUUCCUUUGAGUUUUAGCCUUGCGGCCGUACACCCCAGGCGGGGCGCUUAAUGCGUUAGCUACGGCACGGAUCCCGUGGAAGGAAACCCACACCUAGCGCCCACCGUUUACGGCGUGGACUAC